AUACGUAGGGGGCGAGCGUUGUCCGGAAUGAUUGGGCGUAAAGGGCGCGUAGGCGGCCCGGUAAGUCUGGAGUGAAAGUCCUGUUUUUAAGAUGGGAAUUGCUUUGGAUACUGUCGGGCUUGAGUGCAGGAGAGGUAAGUGGAAUUCCCAGUGUAGCGGGGAAAUGCGUAGAGAUUGGGAGGAACACCAGUGGCGAAGGCGACUUACUGGACUGUAACUGACGCUGAGGCGCAAAAGUGUGGGGAGCAAACAGGAUUAGAUACCCUGGUAGUCCACACUGUAAACGAUGAAUGCUAGGUGUAGGGGGUAUCGACCCCUUCUGUGCCGCAGUCAACACAAUAAGCAUUCCGCCUGGGGAGUACGGCCGCAAGGUUGAAACUCAAAGGAAUUGACGGGG
rnacentral:rRNA from 1 species